GUCAGGAUGGCCGAGUGGUCUAAGGAGCUGUAUUCAGGUCACAGUCUCCCCUGGAGGCGUGGGUUCGAAUCCCACUCCUGACA
rnacentral:tRNA from 1 species